rnacentral:rRNA from 1 species
UACGUAGGAGGCAAGCGUUGUCCGGAAUUACUGGGUGUAAAGCGCGCGUAGGUGGACGGCCAAGUCUGUGGUGAAAUCGCCCGGCUCAACUGGGCGGGGUCCGUGGAAACUGGUCGACUGGAGGACGGUAGAGGCGAGUGGAAUUCCCGGUGUAGUGGUGAAAUGCGUAGAGAUCGGGAGGAACACCAGUGGCGAAGGCGGCUCGCUGGGCCGGUCCUGACACUGAGGCGCGAAGGCGUGGGGAGCGAACGGG